AGCGAACGCUGGCGGCAGGCCUAACACAUGCAAGUCGAACGAACUCUUCAGAGUUAGUGGCGGACGGGUGAGUAACACGUGGGAACGUGCCUUUUGGUUCGGAAUAACUCAGGGAAACCUGUGCUAAUACCGAAUGGGCCCUUCGGGGGAAAGAUUUAUCGCCAUUAGAGCGGCCCGCGUCUGAUUAGCUAGUUGGUGAGGUAAUGGCUCACCAAGGCGACGAUCAGUAGCUGGUCUGAGAGGAUGACCAGCAACACUGGGACUGAGACACGGCCCAGACUCCUACGGGAGGCAGCAGUGGGGAAUCUUGCGCAAUGGGCGAAAGCCUGACGCAGCCAUGCCGCGUGAAUGAUGAAGGUCUUAGGAUUGUAAAAUUCUUUCAACGGGGACGAUAAUGACGGUACCCGGAGAAGAAGCCCCGGCUAACUUCGUG
rnacentral:rRNA from 1 species